GACGUAGGAUGCGAGCGUUGUCCGGAAUUAUUGGGCGUAAAGGGAGCGUAGGCGGUUUCAUAAGUUUGGGCUUAAAGACCGGGGCUCAACCCCGGGAGUGGCUUGAAUACUGUGAGGCUAGAGGACGGCAGAGGAAAGUGGAAUUCCCAGUGUAGCGGUGAAAUGCGUAGAUAUUGGGAGGAACACCAGUGGCGAAAGCGACUUUCUGGGCCGUUCCUGACGCUGAGGCUCGAAAGCUCGGGGAGCAAACAGG
rnacentral:rRNA from 1 species